rnacentral:lncRNA from 1 species
GUUGUACUGAGGAAGUGGACCGCUCAAGAAGAUGAAAGGUAAUGUAAAUAUAAAAAUAAGAAAAUGUAGUAUGAUUGCAAAUAAGAAAAGAGAGGAAUUUGUAAAAGUUAAAAUUCACUUGUUUUCCAAUCCUAAUACUAAUAAAAGUGUCUUAUAUUGUAAUGUUUAAAUUACCUAAUUAUUUAAAAAAAAAAUUGUUUACACUAAUGAGAAAAGACAACUCUCCAUCAGAGAUCAAAUGACAUCAAAGUUAGAACCAGGGUUUCCGCUGGCGGUCGCCAUUUUCGCAAUUUGCGAAAAAAUAAUAAUUGUGGCGAUUAAAAUUCGUCAUUGGCGAAAGAAUUUGGCGAAAUAAAUAUAUAUAACGAUUUAGUUUCAAUCAUCUUGUUUAUUUACUUUUUUUCGGGUUUCUCGGAAUUUACCUGAUCAGACAAUACUCGGAAUUCACCUUGAACUCGUUAUUAAAGAUUUUGACAGAAAAUCAAUAAUCAGCUGAUUGCAUUUUAUAGCAAUCGACAUCAAAGGACUAAUUAAUAAAGGUGUUGAUUGACAAAAUGAUAUUAUUAAAUGGCGCCCGUCACAUGUUACAUCAAGGAUUAUUAACCACUUUGCGACACACGUGUUUGAAGCAAAAUUUUGACGACUCUUCUCCUUCUUUUAAUGAUAGUCCAGAAAAGAAAACUGUUGUUAUGACGAAAAAUGUACAAAAGCCAGGAAGGUCUCUAAUUUAAAACUUUAUCAUUUAACUUUGAUAUCGAUAAUUGAUUUGAGUGGGUACUACUUUAAAGUCGUUUCAGUGACACACGUGUUUUAAGCAUAGUUUUACAUUUUUACGAUGGUCUAGAAAAGAAAAUGUCGGUAUGAAGAAAUCUUUUCAAAAGGUUGGGACCAACCCAUCGAAUGAGAGUAACCCUUUAAUGCAAUGACUACACCUUACAUGAGGGAUCAAUUUCAAGUGACAAAAAACUUUUGUUUUGUUGUAAAAACCACUUCUUAGUACAAAAGGGCAAAUGUUUUUAUUUUUUGAAGAAACUUUCCGAAAGAACUGUACAUCUUUCAGGUAUCCAAGAAUUGUUAAUGUUUACUAUUUAUUCAUUGCAAUGUAGACUAUAAUUCAAGUUUGAUAGAAUAAUCAUAGACAGAAAUGGGGCAACCUCAUCUUAUUUAGGAGGGGGGCGGAAAAAAAGGAAAAUUUUAAAAGAAAAAUAUAUUUGUGUUACUUGGCGAAAAAAAAAAUAAUGUGGCGAAAAAUAUAUUGUUUUGGCGAAAGAGGUGGCGAAAAAAAUAAUUGACCCAGGGGAAACCCUGUAGAACUAUAGGUCAACAUACAUCCUUUAACCAUGAGCAAAGCCCAUACAUUAUACCAUAUAUACUGUAAAUUCUGAAAUAUUGUGUGCAUUUAUUAUUGCCACCAUUGCCAUUUUCAGUGGCAGAUCCAGAAAUUUUCAUAAGUGAGGGCCCACUGACUGCCUAAGAGGGGGCCCGCUCUGGUCAUGAUUCAGUGAUUCCCUAUAUAAUCAACCAAAUUUUUCCCAGAAAAGGGGGGCCCUGGCCCCCACCUAAAUCUGCCUCUGAUUUUAUCAUUUAAGACUUAAAUGCAAGUUUAAUUUUUAGGAUUUUGAGAAAAAUCCUGUUAAAUUCAUAAAAAAUAUUUCAAAAUGCGAGUUUAAAUUAUUGCGUUUACAACUAAACUCUGUCCCAUUUUUAGCAAUAAUCAUGCUAAUAAAAACCUCACAAUAAUUUCUGAAUUUACAGUAGUCCUGGUAUAUAAAAAGACCCUAAAUGAAAACGAAAAAUUUGUAAAACAAUUCAAACUGAAUUACAGGCUUCUGACAUGGGACAGGCACAUACUAAUUGAAGGAUGUGAUGGGGGCUAGACUAUAUAUAGCUAGCAGUUUGUGGUGCCAAACCCACCUAACCUGGUACAUGUAUAUUGAUGUGAAAAGGGCUUAACUCACCAGAUCUAUACAGUAUACAAAAAAGAAAUGCAUCUAACAAAAACACACACAAGACGUGUUUUUUGACAGUAAAUUUAUUCACACAUUGGCAAGAUACAUGUACAUUGAAAAGUUGUUCUUUUGUUAAAUGCCUGAAGUACGGAUUAUAACACAAAUGACAACAGGCCCGAGAAUACAGUUCUUCCGUAGUGCAUUAAAUUCAAAUUAAAAAAGUCGCACCUGCUCUUUCUCAAAAAGAUUUUUACAGUGUAGUGUACUACCAGUGAGACAAAUAAUAUCAAAAUUGUAGAAACUUCUACCAGCUCUAAUGUUCACGAGUUUAGUCUUUUCUAUAUCAAAAUGGUGUAUUUUAACAUUUUUGCCUAUUAACUUAAAACAGCAAAACAAGAUCUAAUAAACAUCUGACAGUAAUUAAUGCCUAGAAUGAUUUUUUAACUGUAUACAGCAGAAUAGAUAAAUUAAAACCAGAAAGUUCAUACUGUACAUAUAUUUAUUAGCUAAGCUGUUGAUCUUCUUUCUGUUGUUUGCUUACAUGUUCUUUAAUUUGCAUUCACUCAAAAGUAAAAGUACAUAUAGUUCUGCAAAGGUAUAAAUUAGUGAGCAUCAGUUCAAUAUGUUCAUACUACAUCUAGUUUUUGUCUGGACUUCAUGGACUUCUUGAUUAAAUAAUUUAGAUUUUAUACAAUUUUAGCUUGUUACCAAAAGAAUGGAAAGUACAGUAUUAAAACCACUGGUGAACAUGUACUGUACAUGUAGGUGUGAAUGUCCUGCAAAAAGAACUGAUAUCAAAGUAUGUUCAUCUGCAGAAUUGCAGUAAAAAUAUAAAUAAUUUGAUGCACUCUGUUCUCAAGUAUAAUUGUACAUGUACACUUGCUUAUUUUUCUCUCUUUCCAAUGUCAAGUAUGCUUCAAGGCAUCCUUACCCUGAUCCCCUCCUGCUCCAUACACACACACUCAGAAGUUCAAAUAAUCAGCAUUUAUAUUAUAUUACAAACCUACCUAGUCAGACUGGCCUAUACAAUGUAUAUUAUGAAUUGACAAGUUGUUCUUGUUUUGAAUACAUAAAAUAUUUGCCACUGGACAUAGUUUCCGUACAAUAACUUUAGUUUAAGUAAAUGGAUAUCUAUCUCUAUGAAAUUUAAAUACAAGGUUUGAACCCACACAAGGAAGAUUGGGAUUGAUUUUGGGGUUAUGGUCCCAACAGUUUAGGAACAAGGAGCCCAAAAGGGGUCAAAAUAAGUAUUUUCCUAGGUUCCAGACAAUUACUUGUGUAUAAGUGUAUGGAUCUUUCUGAAAUUGUACCACAAGGACUUGAAGGUUCCAUACCAAAAAAAAAAGGUUGGGAUUGAUUUUUUGGGGGUUAUCAAUGGUUAUGGCACAAACUGUUUAUGAAUUAGGGGCCAAAAACAAUACUUCUCUAAUACUUUGUAUAAGUUGCUUAUUUCUAGACCAAUUUCAAUGGGGUUUUAUUCUUGAAUUCUUGGGGUUCUUUAAUAUGCUGAAUCAAACCCUGUAUUAAGUUUUUUUUAAUUUGGUCCCCGUUUUUAUACGACCGCAAAAUGUUUGCGUUCUUAUAUUGGUAUCACGUUGUCGGCUAUAUAAAAUGUACAAUAUACAAUGCAAUAUUCACUUAACUACCAACUGAUAAAUUAAAGCAAUCUUCACCAUUCAGUGAUUACAAGCACUCUGAUUACCAUUCUAGGGUUAUGCCCCUUUACAAGUGGAAAAAUUGAAGAAUUUUUUAGUUUCUGUUCUCUUAACUUUAAGUUUGUCUCAACUAAAUUUAAUGAAAUGUGUAUAUAAUGCUUAUUACCUCUAAACUCAGUUUAAGUUCAAUUUUUGGCAUCUUCACUUUUACAGUUCUUGAGUUAUGUCCCUUUAUAACGUUAUAUGCUAGCGGGGGCAUCAUCUGUGUCCUUUUGGACACAUUCCCCAUUUAUUUUUUUAGAAGUUACUAUUAAUUCUAACCAUGACUGUAUGACAUUUUAUAUUUUAAUAUUUUAUGAUGUAUUUAAAUGAGUAGUUAUUGUUGCAAACUCCAUUAGAAUUUUGAAUUGAGAUCAUUUUUGGAAUAAGAGAAAGGGGGACGUGGAAAUAAAAUUGGGGUGGGGGUCAAUUUUUUUUUCUCAUUUUAGAUUUCAGAAUUUAAAAAGAAAAUUUCUUCAAAUAUUUUUUUUUUGAGAGGAUUAAUAUUCAACAGCAUAGUAAAUUGCUCAAAAGCAAAAAAAAAAAAAAUUAAGUUCAUUAGACCACAUUUAUUCUGUGUCAGAAACCUAUGAUGUGUCAACUAUUUAAUCACAAUCCAAAUUCAGAGCUGUAUUCAGCUUGAAUGUUGUGUCCAUACUUGCCUCAACCUUCAGGGUUCGACCUCUGCAGUCGUAUAAAGCUGCACCCUGCGGAGUAUCUGGUUAAAUUGGUCACAUGCCAUACAUAUUAUAUACACAGGUAAUGUGUAGUACACAUGCAUGAAUAGAGUUAGUUUUCAUUAUUUAAAAAAAAAAGGAAAAUAUGUAGUAUCAUUGCCAAUGAGACAACUAUUCAUCAGGUCAAAAUGACUGAAUGUUAGCAACUAAAGAUCACUUUACAUGUAUGUACAACUUUCAACAAUGAGCAAAACCAGUACAGCAUCAAGCAAGCUAUGUCCUGGAAUGACAGAUGUAAAACAAUUCCAAAGAGAAAAUUAAGGGCCUGAUUUACAUAAAAGCGAAAAAAACAACCAUGAUAAAUACAUGUUAGCAAAAACAACAACUAUUAUUUCUCCACUCCAGUUGUUCACACGAUAUUUAUGUAUAUAUAUAUAUGUAAGUUUGGUAAAUCAUUACUUAUCAAAUUUAUGUUAUCAUUUUUGCUUGAUUGGUAAGCCAAUAUUUUAUGGUUGGUUAUUUUUUUUUUUUUAAUUACAGCAACUGUAUUCCAAGAGUCUGAUGGCUGAUAAUGUAUUACAGGAUUUUAUCAUUCAAGCAACAUCUUAGAAGGAUAAGUGCAAAUGUAUGAAGGAAGCCGUGGGUACAAAUAGCAAUUACAGCAGAUACAUGCAGGAGAGAACUCUUAAACAAAGACAUGAUAUGGGAGUGAUGUAUUCAAGAAAUCUCAAACACAUGGAAUUAAAUAUUGUGUAUAUUUUUUCAAACACAAGUACUUUCAGAAUAUAAUACAAUCAUGACAAUUCAAAUUCAAAUUAUUGUUUAUAGUCUAAAAAUGAAUAAUGCAUGUUUUAAACUGAAUUUUAUAUAAAUAUUUGAAAGAACAAGAA